rnacentral:rRNA from 1 species
CGAAUGGCUCAUUAAAUCAGUUAUCGUUUAUUUGAUAGUACCUUACUACAUGGAUAACCGUGGUAAUUCUAGAGCUAAUACAUGCUGAAAACCCCGACUUCGGAAGGGGUGUAUUUAUUAGAUUAAAAACCAAUGCCCUUCGGGGCUCACUGGUGAUUCAUGAUAACUUCUCGAAUCGCACGGCCUUGCGCCGGCGAUGGUUCAUUCAAAUUUCUGCCCUAUCAACUUUCGACGGCUGGGUCUUGGCCAGCCGUGGUGACAACGGGUAACGGAGGGUUAGGGCUCGACCCCGGAGAAAACGCCUGAGAAACGGCGUUUACAUCCAAGGAAGGCAGCAGGCGCGCAAAUUACCCAAUGCCGACACGGCGAGGUAGUGACGAGAAAUACUGAUACAGGGCUCUUUUGGGUCUUGUAAUUGGAAUGAGUACAAUUUAAAUCUCUUAACGAGGAACAAUUGGAGGGCAAGUCUGGUGCCAGCAGCCGCGGUAAUUCCAGCUCCAAUAGCGUAUAUUAAAGUUGUUGCAGUUAAAAAGCUCGUAGUUGAACCUUGGGCCUGGCUGGCCGGUCCGCCUCACCGCGUGCACUGGUCCGGCCGGGCCUUUCCCUCUGGGGAGCCCCAUGCCUUUUACUGGGCGUGGCGGGGAACCAGGACUUUUACUUUGAAAAAAUUAGAGUGUUCAAAGCAGGCCUAUGCUCGAAUACAUUAGCAUGGAAUAAUAGAAUAGGACGUGUGGUUCUAUUUUGUUGGUUUCUAGGACCGCCGUAAUGAUUAAUAGGGACAGUCGGGGGCGUCAGUAUUCAAUUGUCAGAGGUGAAAUUCUUGGAUUUAUUGAAGACUAACUACUGCGAAAGCAUUCGUCAAGGAUGUUUUCAUUAAUCAGGAACGAAAGUUAGGGGAUCGAAAACGAUCAGAUACCGUUGUAGUCUUAACCAUAAACUAUGCCGACCAGGGAUCGGGCGGUGUUAUUAUUUGACCCGCUCGGCACCUUACACGA